rnacentral:rRNA from 1 species
UACGUAGGGGGCUAGCGUUGUCCGGAAUCAUUGGGCGUAAAGCGCGUGUAGGCGGCUCGGUAAGUCGGAUGUGAAAACUCAGGGCUCAACCCGGAGACGCCAUCCGAUACUGCUGUGACUUGAGUCUGGUAGGGGAACACGGAAUACCUGGUGUAGCGGUGAAAUGCGCAGAUAUCAGGUGGAACACCGAUGGCGAAGGCAGUGUUCUGGGCCAGUACUGACGCUGAGGAGCGAAAGCGUGGGGAGCAAACAGG